rnacentral:rRNA from 1 species
CAUGCAAGUCGAACGCGAAAGCCCCGCAAGGGGUGAGUAGAGUGGCAAACGGGUGAGUAACACGUGGGUGAUCUGCCUCAGAGUGGGGGAUAACGACCCGAAAGGGUCGCUAAUACCGCAUAACAUCCUGCCUUUGGAUAGGCGGCGAUCAAAGCUAGGGACCGCAAGGCCUGGCGCUAGGAGAGGAGCCCGCGGCCGAUUAGCUAGUUGGUGAGGUAAUGGCUCACCAAGGCAACGAUCGGUAUCCGGCCUGAGAGGGCGGACGGACACACUGGGACUGAGACACGGCCCAGACUCCUACGGGAGGCAGCAGUGGGGAAUUGUUCGCAAUGGGCGCAAGCCUGACGACGCAACGCCGCGUGGAGGACGAAGACCUUCGGGUCGUAAACUCCUUUCGAUCGGGAAGAAUGGCUUCCGGGUUAACAGCCCGGAGGAAUGACGGUACCGAGAGAAGAAGCCCCGGCUAACUCUGUGCCAGCAGCCGCGGUAAUACAGGGGGGGCAAGCGUUGUUCGGAAUUACUGGGCGUAAAGGGCUCGUAGGCGGCCAACUAAGUCACACGUGAAAUCCCCAGGCUUAACCUGGGAACUGCGUGUGAUACUGGAUGGCUUGAAUUCGGGAGAGGGAUGCAGAAUUCCAGGUGUAGCGGUGAAAUGCGUAGAUAUCUGGAGGAAUACCGGUGGCGAAGGCGGCAUCCUGGACCGACAUUGACGCUGA